rnacentral:rRNA from 1 species
CCUACGGGUGGCUGCAGUAGGGAAUAUUGCUCAAUGGGGGAAACCCUGAAGCAGCAACGCCGCGUGGGGGAUGAAUGUUUUAGGAUUGUAAACCCCUUUUGUUAGAGAAGAUUAUGACGGUAACUAACGAAUAAGCACCUGCUAACUCAGUGCCAGUAGGCGAGGUAAUACCGCGGGUGCAAGCGUUACUCGGAAUUACUGGGCGUAAAGAGUGCGUAGGCGGGGUAAUAAGUCAGAUGUGAAAUCCUGUAGCUUAACUACAGAACUGCAUUUGAAACUGUUUAUCUGGAGUGUGGGAGAGGUAGGUGGAAUUCUUGGUGUAGGGGUAAAAUGCGUAGAGAUCAAGAAGAAUACUCAUUGCGAAGGCGACCUGCUGGAACAUUACUGACGCUGAGGCACGAAAGCGUGGGGAGCGAACAGGAUUAGAUACCCCUGUAGUC